CACGGGGGGAGCAAGCGUUGUUCGGAAUUACUGGGCGUAAAGGGCGCGUAGGCGGCCUACUAAGUCAGACGUGAAAUCCCCCGGCUUAACCUGGGAACUGCGUCUGAUACUGGAAGGCUUGAGGAUGGGAGAGGGAUGUAGAAUUCCAGGUGUAGCGGUGAAAUGCGUAGAUAUCUGGAGGAAUACCGGUGGCGAAGGCGGCAUCCUGGACCAUUACUGACGCUGAGGCGCGAAAGCCAGGGGAGCAAACGGG
rnacentral:rRNA from 1 species